rnacentral:sRNA from 1 species
GAAAAUUAAAAAUAUAGGUUAGCUUUGCAUAAUGAUUCAAAUAGUGCACAGCUUUUUUUAAUGACUUGCCCGUUCACCAUUACAUGUAAAGGUAUCAAGGUAUUGCCCUUAUUCAUAGACCAAUCAAUCAAUGACGUUAUUCCUAUAAAUAGAUUGAUUAUAAAUCCAAAUGAAUUUCUGACAAAUUAAAAUGCAUUUUCAAAAAUUUCCAUUACAUACAGAAUUUUGGAAUUUCAAUUAUAAUUCAAUGUAACUGUAUCUUUCUUUCGUACAAGUGUACCGUUUGUCACAAAGAAAUUACUUUCAAAAUAUAUUGGGGUUAAU